rnacentral:rRNA from 1 species
CCAGACUCCUACGGGAGGCAGCAGUGAGGAAUAUUGGUCAAUGGGCUUACGCCUGAACCAGCCAAGUCGCGUGAGGGAAGACUGCCCUAUGGGUUGUAAACCUCUUUUGUCAGGGAGCAAUUGGCGCUACGUGUAGCGUUAUCGAGAGUACCUGAAGAAAAAGCAUCGGCUAACUCCGUGCCAGCAGCCGCGGUAAUACGGAGGAUGCGAGCGUUAUCCGGAUUUAUUGGGUUUAAAGGGUGCGUAGGCGGAGGUGCAAGUCAGCGGUCAAAUUGCGGGGCUCAACCCCGUACUGCCGUUGAAACUGGCGGCCUCGAGUGGGCGAGAAGUAUGCGGAAUGCGUGGUGUAGCGGUGAAAUGCAUAGAUAUCACGCAGAACUCCGAUUGCGAAGGCAGCAUACCGGCGCCCGACUGACGCUGAGGCACGAAAGCGUGGGUAUCGAACAGGAUUAGAUACCCGCGUA